rnacentral:rRNA from 1 species
UACGUAGGGUCCGAGCGUUGUCCGGAAUUAUUGGGCGUAAAGGGCUCGUAGGCGGUUCGUUACGUCGGGAGUGAAAACUCGGAGCUUAACUCCGAGCCUGCUUCCGAUACGGGCAGACUAGAGGUAGGCAGGGGAGAGCGGAACUCCUGGUGUAGCGGUGGAAUGCGUAGAGAUCCGGAAGAACACCGGUGGCGAAGGCGGCCUGCUGCGCAGUUUGGCUGACACUGAGGCGCGACAGCGUGGGGAGCAAACAGG